UAAGAGGUCCAGCCUGCCCUGUGACUAUAUGUUUAACGGCCGCGGUAUUUUAACCGUGCGAAGGUAGCGCAAUCACUUGUCUUUUAAAUGGAGACCUGUAUGAAUGGCAUAACGAGGGCUUAACUGUCUCCUUUUUCAAGUCAAUGAAAUUGAUCUCUCCGUGCAGAAGCGGAGAUAUACCCAUAAGACGAGAAGACCCUGUGGAGCUUUAGACACUAAGGCAUAUCAUGCUAAAUACCCCCUGGUUAAAGGACCAAGCUAAGUGAACCCAUGCCCGCAUGUCUUUGGUUGGGGUGACCGAGGGGAAAUAAAAAACCCCCGCGUGGAAUGGGAGCACUACCUCCUACAACCAAGAGCUGCAACUCUAAGAAGCAGAAUUUCUGACCAAAGAGAUCCGGCUAUAGCCGAUCAACGGACCGAGUUACCCCAGGGAUAACAGCGCAAUCCCCUUUUAGAGCCCAUAUCGACAAGGGGGUUUACGACCUCGAUGUUGGAUCAGGACAUCCUAAUGGUGCAGCCGCUAUUAAUGGUUCGUUUGUUCAACG
rnacentral:rRNA from 1 species